AGAGUUUGAUCCUGGCUCAGGACGAACGCUGGCGGCGUGCCUAAUACAUGCAAGUCGAGCGGAUGAAGAGGAGCUUGCUCCUUUGAUUCAGCGGCGGACGGGUGAGUAACACGUGGGCAACCUGCCUGUAAGACUGGGAUAACUUCGGGAAACCGGAGCUAAUACCGGAUAACUAAUUGAACCACAUGGUUCAAUUAUAAAAGAUGGUUUCGACUAUCACUUACAGAUGGGCCCGCGGCGCAUUAGCUAGUUGGUGAGGUAACGGCUCACCAAGGCGACGAUGCGUAGCCGACCUGAGAGGGUGAUCGGCCACACUGGGACUGAGACGCGGCCCAGACUCCUACGGGAGGCAGCAGUAGGGAAUCUUCCGCAAUGGACGAAAGUCUGACGGAGCAACGCCGCGUGAGUGAUGAAGGUUUUCGGAUCGUAAAGCUCUGUUGUUAGGGAAGAACAAGUGCCGGAGUAACUGCCGGUGCCUUGACGGUACCUAACCAGAAAGCCACGGCUAACUACGUGCCAGCAGCCGCGGUAAUACGUAGGUGGCAAGCGUUGUCCGGAAUUAUUGGCGUAAGCGCGCGCAGGCGGUUUCUUAAGUCUGAUGUGAAAGCCCGGCUCACCGGGGAGGGUCAUUGGAAACUGGGGACUUGAGUACAGAAGAGGAAGUGGAUUCCACGUGUAGCGUGAAUGCGUAGAGAUGUGGAGACACAGUGGCGAAGGGACUUCUGUUUGUACUGACGCUGAGCGCGAAGCGUGGGGAGCGAACAGAUAGAACCCUGUAGUCACGCGUACCGAGAUGCUAGUGUGGAGGUCGCCUUAGUGCUGCGCUACGAUAGACUCCGCUGGAAUACGGUCGCAGACUG
rnacentral:rRNA from 1 species